rnacentral:rRNA from 1 species
UACGAAGGGGGCUAGCGUUGUUCGGAAUUACUGGGCGUAAAGCGCACGUAGGCGGGUUGUUAAGUCAGGGGUGAAAUCCUGGAGCUCAACUCCAGAACUGCCUUUGAUACUGGCAACCUAGAGACUGGAAGAGGUUAGUGGAACUGCGAGUGUAGAGGUGAAAUUCGUAGAUAUUCGCAAGAACACCAGUGGCGAAGGCGGCUCACUGGCCCGGUACUGACGCUGAGGUGCGAAAGCGUGGGGAGCAAACAGG